UUUUGGUGCCCCCGUCUCUCAGGACUACUUCCAGGAUGUCAGAAGGACAAAGUACCGAUAACGUUGAGACUUUGUUUGUUUUUGAGCUUUUGGUGGAAAAUAUCCGGGUAGAGAAGGAGACCGAGAUUUCAGGCGAGCUGGCUCUCGCUGUGCGACUGUUGGAUUUCCCAACGCUGCUCAUUUAUCCGCACAAAAAAGAAAACGCACAGCAAGCAGACAAACCGGGAGAAUACUCCUUUAACAAAGGCAAGACGUGUUUCUUCCAGAUGAACCUGAACUCCCUGCAUACACGACUGUCCAGCUCCCCUCUCUACGCCAUGGUGCUGGAUGUGAAAGAGGAGAUUCCCAAGUUAGUUGGCUCCUCCUUAAUAUCACUGGUCAAAGUCAUGGGCAGAAUUUUGCAGGAUGUGGCACAGAAUGGAAUUUCUGUUCCCUCGUCUAGAGGAGAAAGGGGCCUUGUUAGUAUGUGCAGCCUCACAGGAGAGAAAAUUGGAUUCAUUUCCUUGAGUUAUAAACUGCUAAGUGUUGGUACGGGAGUGCAAGGACAGCAGCCUGUGGAGGAAUGCAUGGGGGAGAAAAACAUGGUAAUAAAACCAUCGUCUUUUGCUCUGCCACAACCAACAAGCUUUCAAAACAUUGCACUGGCAAGUGGAACAACCUGGAAAAGAGAGGAGAGUCUAAAUCCUGCUGCUGCUGCUGCUGCUUCUCCUGCUGCGGGUGAGAGUGUUGCCAUCCAAUGCCGGCCAAGAUCCCAAACAGCUCAAACAUUCAAAGAAAUUGGAAACAGUUUUGAUGGAGAGAUGAACAUAUUUUGCCCUCCACAACUUUAUUACAGUCACUCUGGGGAGGAUAAGGGUGACAGUGUUAUUGAUUAUAAACAAAUUAGUAUUAACCCGGACUUUAACACAUUUGAGGAGUUAUGUUCUGGGCAUGAGGUGUCUGGAAACAAAGCUGGGGUUUCUCCAAACAUGGACAAUAGAGAAAUAUGUGUAACCAAAACAGAGAAGCAUCAACAGACAAAUGAGGUCAGUCCAAAUGUAGAUGCUUUAAAACAGUUACCCUUACUCAACGCCCUUCUAAUGGAGCUGUCACAGUUAAACGUCCAAAAUCCACACCAACCAUUGUCUAUUCACCCCAACCUGGCAUGGAUUUACAGGCCGGCCUCUACAGAGCCACCAGGUGGACAUGAUAUCACACCACGCAAAACUAUAGACAAAACCAAAGUUACCAGUUCUCUUUUGAAAAAUGUACAUUCCUCAAGAACCUGCACUGCCACGGGAUUUAAACCCACAACCCCACAAAGGGAAAGCAAACAUAAAGCAGCAAUUAUUGAAAGUAAAACAUGUGAUAAACCCGUUAAGAGCAAGCUUGUCUACGGAACAACCAAAACAUUUAAUCUGAGGUUGAAGAAAAUUUCUACUCAUAAAGUAAAACAUGAUUGCACUGAAUUAUUACAGAAUGAAAAACAGAUAACAAAUAACCCAAAAGGAAAGGCAAGGCCUCUAGAUAAACCCGCUUAUGCUGGACUGAAGAAAUUACUAUUAAAUAAGAACUCAACCCUUGAUAAACAUGUUGAAACUGUGAUACAGAAAGUAAAAAUGAAAUCUCCAUUACAAGAAACAACAACAUAUGUGCGGGAAAACUCCAGUGAAAAAGAAGAAAAAGACUUGCCAGUAAUUUCAGGAAUACCCUCUCCUCCUCUCGGGGUGAGAAAUGUUGAAUGUAUUCACAUUCCAAGUGUGGACAGUGACACUGCUCUCCAAAGCACAGAGAGGACAGAAAAUCUGGGUGAACCUGCUCCAUCAUCACCUCCAUCUCUCAGGCUAAGAGAGAGUAUUAAAUCCCCAGGCAGCAGCAAAUUCAGCAGUCGAAAGUCUUCAUUUUCAGACUCGACUGUCGGAGCGAAUAAGGAACUUGAAUAUGCUGAUGACUUUAACAGUCCUGAGCCCAGUGAUGUCUACUCUCCUGACCCAGGGAGCACCUCAGAACUCUCAAGAGUACACACUCCAAAAUCUUCUGUGCGACCUGACUCCUGCAGCCCCGACUCUGUCUCUCAUCGCAAGAGAACUGUCCUGCCCGUUCCCCCCAAAGCCUCCGUCUCUCCACAGCGGUCCCUGAGGUCACACAUUAUUCGACCACAAACGCCGGCAUCUGUCGUAAGUUUCUCCUCCGGAGAUUGUGAUAGAGACAGUUUAGCUUCUUUACAGACCAUUGGCUCCAGAAGGGAGGUCACAGAGACUGGCAGAGCAGAAAGCAGCUUAGUUGCUGAGAGUUUAGGAUCUUUAAGAAGUGAGUCAUUUAAAAACAGAAGUCCAGGCCGAGGAUCAGAAUCCGUAUCCUCUGUGGAACCACAGGAUGCAGAGGAGGAAAAAGACGAGCUUGGAUCUCUGGACUUGGGAAGAGAGCAUCAGCACAUCUCAGAACUCCUGGUUAACAAACUGCCUGGUUACACCAUGUAAGAAAUGGUCACAUAUAUAACGCUAUGUAAUUAGUUGGGUUUUAGUUCUUUGUGUUUUUAAUAAAACAUUUUUAGCAGUAUCAAUGUAAUUUAUGGAAGUUCUAUUUUCAAAGUGAUGCAUUUAAGCAUAAACUGCAAAAGUCAUUCCUAAUAGUGGAAAAGCAAUUAAAUAACAUACAUUUUGCUACAUUACACACACACAACUGCUAAGUUAUUCAAUGUGUAUUUUGUGGUCAAAUGAAUCAAUUUAAAAAUAGUUAUUUAACCCAUAUCUUAACGGUGGAGCUAGAACGAAUCGAAACGAACUUAUGACGUUCGGUGCCUAUAGCGCAUGCGUCACUAUAUGCGGAAGUGCAGCGGAGCCUGGACGAGCCGCUUUGAACAGAAAUGUUCAAGCACGUUUUCUUGACAGGACCUCCAGAUCAGAUAUUGCAGUUAGCAUCUCACAUUUUGUCAAAGGUGUGGGCAAAACCACACUGGUCCAAAAAGCCUGUGAAGCUCUGCUGUCAUCAGGCGUGGGAGUUGAAGGGUUCUACACAGAGGAGGUCAGAGAGAGAGGCCGGAGAACGGGCUUUGAUGUCGUCACCAUGACAGGAGAGAGAGGCCACCUGUCCAGAAUCAGAAAUGUGGGGUUGGCAGAUGGAGGAAACAAGAAGGUUUUUGUCAUUGAUGAAAUAGGCAAAAUGGAACUCUUCAGUCAGUCCUUCAUCAGGGCAGUGAGACAGAUUUUGGACAGCUCCUCCUGCACCGUCCUGGGCACCAU